AGUUUGAUCCUGGCUCAGGAUGAACGCUGGCGGCGUGCCUAACACAUGCAAGUCGAGCGGGAAUCUCCCAAAGAAAGCUUCGGCAGACUGCGGGAGAGGAGAGCGGCGGACGGGUGAGUAACGCGUAGGUAACCUACCUUAUGCACAGGGAUAGCCCCGGGAAACUGGAAUUAAUACCUGAUGAAGCGAUUAGGUCACAUGGCCUUGAUCGCCAAAGAUUUAUCGGCAUAAGAUGGACCUGCGUCUGAUUAGCUGGUUGGUGAGGUAACGGCCCACCAAGGCGACGAUCAGUAGCCGACCUGAGAGGGUAAUCGGCCACAUUGGAACUGAGACACGGUCCAAACUCCUACGGGAGGCAGCAGUGGGGAAUAUUACACAAUGGGCGCAAGCCUGAUGUAGCAACGCCGCGUGAGCGAAGAAGGUCUUCGGAUCGUAAAGCUCUGUCCUUGGGGACGAAGGAAGUGACGGUACCCAAGGAGGAAGCCCCGGCUAACUACGUGCC
rnacentral:rRNA from 1 species